UCAAGGGAGUUUGUGUUAAAUGCAUUUUUAGAAUUCCGUAUUUUGUAGUUGGGGCACAUGUAUAUGUCAUAUGUUGUGACAUUUUGAUUUAUCUAUAAGUUGCAGAGAGAAUGUUGUGGCUGGUGAUUUUACUGCUGAUAUGGGUCGCAGAUUUCUUCAUCUCCUUCUGUGAGAAACUGGAUGAAUCUUCCCCUACGAAGUGUUUGGCUAAGACACCAAAGAAAAAUACAAAAUCACUAUGAUCCCACAAUUAUUGGAUAGAGGACUUUCAUAGGACAUGGAAAAUGGCGUUGUAAGCAUUAACUGGAACAGAAAAAAAAAUAGAGAGA